rnacentral:rRNA from 1 species
AUUGAACGCUGGCGGCAUGCCUUACACAUGCAAGUCGAACGGCAGCGGACCUUCGGGUGCCGGCGAGUGGCGAACGGGUGAGUAAUAUAUCGGAACGUACCUUUCAGUGGGGGAUAACGUAGCGAAAGUUACGCUAAUACCGCGUAUUCUGUGAGCAGGAAAGCAGGGGAUCGCAAGACCUUGCGCUGAUUGAGCGGCCGAUAUCAGAUUAGCUAGUUGGUGAGGUAAAGGCUCACCAAGGCGACGAUCUGUAGCGGGUCUGAGAGGAUGAUCCGCCACACUGGAACUGAGACACGGUCCAGACUCCUACGGGAGGCAGCAGUGGGGAAUUUUGGACAAUGGGCGCAAGCCUGAUCCAGCCAUGCCGCGUGAGUGAAGAAGGCCUGG